rnacentral:tRNA from 1 species
GGCUUUAUAGUCAAAAAUGAUAUCAGACUGCAAUUCUGAAGGAGUAGUUAGCUACUAAGGCUU